CCUACGGGAGGCAGCAGUGAGGAAUAUUGGUCAAUGGGCGCGAGCCUGAACCAGCCAAGUCGCGUGAGGGAGGACGGCCCUACGGGUUGUAAACCUCUUUUGCCGGGGAGCAACGGGCGCCACGUGUGGCGUCACUGAGAGUACCCGGAGAAAAAGCACCGGCUAACUCCGUGCCAGCAGCCGCGGUAAGACGGAGGAUGCGAGCGUUAGCGGGAUUGAUUGGGUGGAAAGGGUGCGUAGGCGGAUCGUUAAGUCAGUGGUCAAAUUGUGGGGCUCAACCCCUUCCCGCCAUUGAAACGGGCGUUCUUGAGUGGAAGAGAAGUAUGCGGAAUGCGUGGUGUAGCGGUGAAAUGCAUAGAUAUCACGCAGAACCCCGAUUGCGAAGGCAGCAUGCCGGCUUCCGACUGACGCUGACGCACGAAAGCGUGGGGAUCGAACAGGAUUAGAUACCCGAGUAGUC
rnacentral:rRNA from 1 species